AUGAGUGUUAAGGCUCGCGGCAGGUAUCGUUAUUUUCUGACCUUCACAGAUGAUUUGAGCAGAUAUGGGUAUAUCUACUCGAUGAAACAUAAGUCUGAAACAUUUGAAAAGUUCAAAGAAUUUCAGAGUGAGGUAGAAAAUCAUCGUAACAAGAAAAUAAAGUUUCUACGAUCUGAUCGCGGAGACGAAUAUUUGAGUUAUGAGUUUGGUCUUCAUUUAAAACAAUGUGGAAUAGUUUCACAACUCACGCCACCUGGAACACCACAGCGUAAUGGUUUGUCCGAACGUCAUAACCGUACUUUAUUGGAUAUGGUGCGAUCUAUGAUGUCUCUUACCGAUUUACCACUAUCGUUUUGGGAUUAUGCAUUAGAGACAGCUGCAUUCACGUUAAAUAGGGCACCAUCUAAAUCCGUUGAGACGACACCGUAUGAACUGUGGUUUAGCAAUAAACCUAAGCUGUCGUUUCUUAAAGUUUGGGGCUGCGAUGCUUAUGUGAAAAAGCUUCAACCUGAUAAGUUCGAACCCAAAUCGGAGAAAUGCGUCUUCAUAGGAUACCCAAAAGACACUGUUGGGUACAACUUCUAUCACAGAUCCGAAGGCAAGGUCUUUGUUGCUAAAAGUGGAUCCUUUCUAGAGAAGGAGUUUCUCUCGAAAGAAGUGAGUGGAAGGAAAGUAGAACUUGAUGAGGUAAUUGUACCUUCUCCCGAAUUGGAAAGUAGUUCAUCACAGAAAUCAGUUCCAGUGAUUCCUAUACCAAUUAGUGAGGAAGCUAAUGAUGAUGAUCAUGAAACUUCAGAUCAAGUUACUACCGAACCUCGUAGGUCAACC
rnacentral:rRNA from 1 species